UGGGGGAUAUUGCACAAUGGGCGAAAGCCUGAUGCAGCGACGCCGCGUGGGGGAUGAAGGCCUUCGGGUUGUAAACUUCUUUUGCUCUGAACAAGGCGCACCAUGGGGUGUGUUGAGUGUAGGGGGUGAUUAGCGCCGGCUAACUACGUGCCAGCAGCCGCGGUAAUACGUAGGGCGCGAGCGUUGUCCGGAAUUAUUGGGCGUAAAGGGCUUGUAGGUGGCUGGUUGCGUCUGUCGUGAAAGCUCAUGGCUUAACUGUGGGUUUGCGGUGGGUACGGGCUGGCUUGAGUGCAGUAGGGGAGGCUGGAAUUCCUGGUGUAGCGGUGGAAUGCGCAGAUAUCAGGAGGAAUACCGGUGGCGAAGGCGGGGCUCUGGGCUGUUACUGACACUGAGGAGCGAAAGCAUGGGGAGCGAACAGG
rnacentral:rRNA from 1 species